UUCAAGGACAUUACCUGCAUAUUCAGGGGAUUUCCCAGCGGGUUCAGGUGGUUUCCCAGUGGGCUUAGGGGUUUUCUAGCAAGACAGUACGGGUUUAGAGAUUUUAGAGUGGAUUCCAGAGCAGGUUUUAGAGAUUUCAGAGGGGGUUUUUGAGAGCCGAUUUCAGAAACAGAUUGAUUUCAGAUUGGGUGGCAAAGCGGCGGGUUCUAGGUGAU
rnacentral:lncRNA from 1 species